CAGAAGUGCGAAUGCUGACAUAAGUAACGAUAAAGCGGGUGAAAAGCCCGCUCGCCGGAAGACCAAGGGUUCCUGUCCAACGUUAAUCGGGGCAGGGUGAGUCGACCCCUAAGGCGAGGCCGAAAGGCGUAGUCGAUGGGAAACAGGUUAAUAUUCCUGUACUUGGUGUUACUGCGAAGGGGGGACGGAGAAGGCUAUGUUGGCCGGGCGACGGUUGUCCCGGUUUAAGCGUGUAGGCUGGUUUUCCAGGCAAAUCCGGAAAACCAAGGCUGAGGCGUGAUGACGAGGCACUACGGUGCUGAAGCGACAAAUGCCCUGCUUCCAGGAAAAGCCUCUAAGCAUCAGGUAACAUCAAAUCGUACCCCAAACCGACACAGGUGGUCAGGUAGAGAAUACCAAGGCGCUUGAGAGAACUCGGGUGAAGGAACUAGGCAAAAUGGUGCCGUAACUUCGGGAGAAGGCACGCUGAUAUGUAGGUGAAGCGACUUGCUCGUGGAGCUGAAAUCAGUCGAAGAUACCAGCUGGCUGCAACUGUUUAUUAAAAACACAGCACUGUGCAAACACGAAAGUGGACGUAUACGGUGUGACGCCUGCCCGGUGCCGGAAGGUUAAUUGAUGGGGUUAGCGGUAACGCGAAGCUCUUGAUCGAAGCCCCGGUAAACGGCGGCCGUAACUAUAACGGUCCUAAGGUAGCGAAAUUCCUUGUCGGGUAAGUUCCGACCUGCACGAAUGGCGUAAUGAUGGCCAGGCUGUCUCCACCCGAGACUCAGUGAAAUUGAACUCGCUGUGAAGAUGCAGUGUACCCGCGGCAAGACGGAAAGACCCCGUGAACCUUUACUAUAGCUUGACACUGAACAUUGAGCCUUGAUGUGUAGGAUAGGUGGGAGGCUUUGAAGUGUGGACGCCAGUCUGCAUGGAGCCGACCUUGAAAUACCACCCUUUAAUGUUUGAUGUUCUAACGUUGGCCCGUAAUCCGGGUUGCGGACAGUGUCUGGUGGGUAGUUUGACUGGGGCGGUCUCCUCCUAAAGAGUAACGGAGGAGCACGAAGGUUGGCUAAUCCUGGUCGGACAUCAGGAGGUUAGUGCAAUGGCAUAAGCCAGCUUGACUGCGAGCGUGACGGCGCGAGCAGGUGCGAAAGCAGGUCAUAGUGAUCCGGUGGUUCUGAAUGGAAGGGCCAUCGCUCAACGGAUAAAAGGUACUCCGGGGAUAACAGGCUGAUACCGCCCAAGAGUUCAUAUCGACGGCGGUGUUUGGCACCUCGAUGUCGGCUCAUCACAUCCUGGGGCUGAAGUAGGUCCCAAGGGUAUGGCUGUUCGCCAUUUAAAGUGGUACGCGAGCUGGGUUUAGAACGUCGUGAGACAGUUCGGUCCCUAUCUGCCGUGGGCGCUGGAGAACUGAGGGGGGCUGCUCCUAGUACGAGAGGACCGGAGUGGACGCAUCACUGGUGUUCGGGUUGUCAUGCCAAUGGCACUGCCCGGUAGCUAAAUGCGGAAGAGAUAAGUGCUGAAAGCAUCUAAGCACGAAACUUGCCCCGAGAUGAGUUCUCCCUGAGACUUAGAGUCUCCUGAAGGAACGUUGAAGACGACGACGUUGAUAGGCCGGGUGUGUAAGCGCAGCGAUGCGUUGAGCUAACCGGUACUAAUGAACCGUGAG
rnacentral:rRNA from 1 species